GGCCCAGGGCACUGCAGGAGGCCGGACAGAGCGCAGCAGGUGUUCAGCCUACUGCGUGCAUUUAUCGCCUUGAAUCGGGCAGUUUUAGCGUCUCCGUCAGUUUUCAUUACCUGAGUGUGUUGGUGCAGUGCCUUGGUGACUAUUUGGCAGCGUUAUUUUGUUUGUGUGAUACCGCAAAUAGGACGAGGAGAAGAAUGGACCUGGGUCGUCACCGUGAGGGCCAGGUGAGCGAGUCCGCGCCGCCAGGUGACCUUAUCCCCACCACGCCCACGCCCCUCCGUCUCUCAGUGCGCCAAAUCCAAGUGGCCAGGGUGGUCUUGGGAGCUGCCCGCAUGUUUGGCCCAGACUUCACGCCGCAGGGAGUCAAGCACCUCACUCCAGGGAAUGCAGCAGCAGCGUAGCAACGAUCAAAGAAGCUUCGCUGGUCUGAAAAGCGACGAGGAAAAUCAUUUUCAAGGUAAUUUGCCAAUGAAAGCGUAUUUUCUUAGAGUUUUUGAAAGUUCUUGUUGAAAUAUUUGUAGCUAACCAACGAUUUAAAGUAAAACAAAAGCUUAGGUUACGAAUAUUUAAAUCAAACUCAAUACUUUUUCUCGACUUCUUUGCACCGUGUUGAAGCCUCGACUUGUCUUGAUGCGUUGCCUGCUGCUGACUUGUGCUGCAGGUGUGUCUGCGAAGGAGUUGUGGAGACAGACUCAGCUGCUGAUAAGUGACGCCAGGAGGACUGCCAUCCUGCGCCACCACGGUAGCUACUUGUCCGUUUCAUUUCAUUCUAUUUGUCAGCCUCCGUAACGAAUAAGUCAAUUAAACUGCACACAAUAUCCAGGUGUCAGUAUUACCUUUGAUACGCUGAUAAUAAGCAAAAUUGAUGUCCAGUUAUAAUAAAAAAGUGAGUCACUACGUUCAUUUAUCUAAAUAUCUUAAAAAUUUACAGAGAUCCUAACAAAUGAUGCAAGCGGUUUAUGGUUGCACUUUGUGGCGAUGCACAUGUUGGAGAGCCGCGAGUGGCGCAUCACGCU